AUAUUGCACAGUGGGCGAAAGCCUGAUGCAGCGACGCCGCGUGAGCGAAGAAGUAUUUCGUUAUGUAAAGCUCUAUCAGCAGGGAAGAUAAUGACGGUACCUGACUAAGAAGCACCGGCUAAAUACGUGCCAGCAGCCGCGGUAAUACGUAUGGUGCAAGCGUUAUCCGGAUUUACUGGGUGUAAAGGGAGCGUAGGCGGUCUGCCAAGUCUGAUGUGAAAACCCGGGGCUCAACCCCGGGAGUGCAUUGGAAACUGGCGGACUGGAGUGUCGGAGAGGUAAGCGGAAUUCCUAGUGUAGCGGUGAAAUGCGUAGAUAUUAGGAGGAACACCAGUGGCGAAGGCGGCUUACUGGACGAUAACUGACGCUGAGGCUCGAAAGCGUGGGGAGCAAACAGG
rnacentral:rRNA from 1 species